UUGUGUCUGUUGUGGGUUGAACCGUAUCCUCCCCAAAUUCAUAUGUUGAGGCUGACUCCCAGUACCUCAGAAUGUGACAGUAUUUGGAGAUGGGAUCUUUAAAGAGGUGAUUAAGUUAAACAGAGGCCAUCAGGGUGGGCCCUAAUCCAAUCUGACUGGUGUCCUUAUAAAAAGAGGAAAUUCAGGCAGGUGAGGAGACACCAGGGACAUGUGAACACAGAGGGAACACCACAUGAGGACAAAGGGAGAAGGAGGCCAUCAGCAAGCCAGGAGAGAGCCUCAGAAGAAACCAACCCUGCUGACACCUUGACCAUGGCCUUCCAGCCUCCAGAACUGAAGGACAAUGUUACAGUCAACUGAUUCCCCAUGGAUGACAGCAGCUAUCUGUUAUAAAGACAAACAAUCCAAUUAGGACCGGCGUAGUUAAUGUAGAUGAAGAAGCAAAGGCUUGAAGUGUGUGUGAGUUAAGUAUUCCAGCGGCACUGGGCGAGAACAGACGAUAUAGGAGAAGCGAGCGGGUUUUUUAAGUUGCUUUUCUUCCCAGCCACCACUGGAGGAGCUCGGAGAGAAACAGCACGCCCGCUGCCUCUUUCUUAAGAAGAUAACACUGCCUGGGUGAUGCGUUGUUUCCCACAGUGACUCACUCAAGAUUGCUUUAGUUCAGCAAAUCGCAUCACAUCACGAAACAGUGACAUCUUUGAAGCCAGAGCUCAGGACUUCUCGAAGUGACACUCAAGAAAUGCACAAUGAGCCUCGUUUCCUGAAGAAGCUGAGAAAACAACUUAAAAACCAACAACACACAGUAACAUGAAAUUCUCGUUACAGCUGGCCUCUUUAGUCGCCGCUCCCCAGCUAGUUAAGCUCAAUGGAUUCUGUGCAGACCAUUCUCAGACUGAUUCACAGGACUGCUCUGACGGAAGUGUCUGCAUGUUACUUUGGCCAAUGUGGUAUCAGGAAUAUUACUAGGAAAUAAUGGGUGUUUACUUUGUACCGGAAUCUUGUCUAAUUGCUUCUCAUGCAUUUUCCCAUUUAAUCCUUUAUAAAAUAUGGUAAACUCUGUCUCAAUUAAGAAAUAAUUUGUGGGAUAGAUAUUAUUAUUAUUAUUAUUUCCACCAAUGCUGUUAAAUAAUUUGCUCAAGGUCACAAAUUAGGAGACGGAGCCGAGAAAUGAACCCAGAUAGUGUGACGAUAGAGUCUGUCCCGUUAGUCCCCAAUCCCGUUUCCUGCUGCUGCUGGGUGGGACACAAUAAGCAAGGUGAGAGGCAGGAGGAUGGGAGACCUGCAUUAAUGGAGAGCCUCCAAGGCCCUGGGCAUUCCACACGUGUGAAGAGGUGCCAGGUGUUCUCCAGGGUCUCACUCUGUCUCAACGCUAUUUCCAAUGAGCUUCAAGAGUUAGCCCUUCAUGAGCUUCCCCGAGAAAUCAGAUCAGCCCGGAACUUAUUUGGCCAGAGAAAGGAAUUACAUUGCACUUGAAAACCCACAUUUAGGAGCUCCCUGGCCCACCCCAUUGUCCCCCGUCCUGCCCCAGCUCUCUUAUUCAGCAGCACCGGCCUUUCUUCUGCUUGAACUCUGGGUACAACAGCUCUAAAGAGGCAUUUUCUCAGCAUAGCCGUCUUCUUCCUAUAAUGUAAUUCUCUCUCUUGCUAGCUGCUAAAAAGAUAAAAUUGUCUCCAAAUCCUAACAUAAAUGUCAUCUCAUUCAAUUUUUACAACUCCUUACGGGUAAGAAUUGUUCUCUCCAUUUUGUCCGUAAGGGAACUGAUGCUCAGGGAGGUUAAAGAAGCUGCUUCAGAUCACACAGCUACUAAGUGGCCAAGUGGCAGCUUGAAUCCCCUUCUCUCUGGCUUCAAAUCCAGGGCUAUUUCUCUCACACUAUACCUUAGGUAUUUCAAUCCAGGCUACAGCUUGACCUGGGAGCAGGUCAAACAUAACCUAGGAGCCAGUCUUCACUGGGACUGAACCAUAUUCUCUAGAAGUCAGGCCAGGAGGUUGGUCAAGGGCAGAAAAAGUCAACAGAGGGAAAGAACACUUUU
ensembl:lncRNA